rnacentral:rRNA from 1 species
GUUUAUUGAAUAUAAAGAAAAGACGAACAGCUCAGUAACUCUUAUUUUAUUUGAUGUAUUAGGAUUAUAACUAUGUUAAAUUAUAGAUAACAAUAAUACAAUAAGAAUAAGAUCUAUCAGUUAGUUGUUAAGGUAAUGGCUUAACAAGACUAUGACGGAUAACGGUAUUACUUUGUAAUAUUCCGGAGAAGGAGCCUGAGAGAUUGCUACUAAGUCUAAGGAUUGCAGCAGGGGCGAAACUUGACCUAUGAUAUGAUAUUGAGGCAGUUAUGAGUAGUAUUUUUAAUUAUUGUAGUAUUGUAAGUAUAUACUACAAGAUAAAUCGGAGGGCAAAUCGAGUGCCAGCAGCCGCG